GACGUAGGGGGCGAGCGUUGUCCGGAUUUAUUGGGCGUAAAGCGUGCGUAGGCGGCUGCGCAAGUCGGUUGUGAAACCCCGGGGCUCAACCCCGGAACUGCAUCCGAUACUGCGUGGCUAGAGGUAGGUAGGGGAGAUCGGAAUUCCUGGUGUAGCGGUGAAAUGCGCAGAUAUCAGGAGGAACACCGGUGGCGAAGGCGGAUCUCUGGGCCUUACCUGACGCUCAGGCACGAAAGCCAGGGGAGCAAACGGG
rnacentral:rRNA from 1 species